UCAAAAUACGUGCAAAUAGUGAACGUAAACAAACUAUAGGGACGGAGAGAGUAACAUAAAUAUAAUUAAAUUUGAAAUUUUUUUAAUUUUAUAUUAAUAAAAAUGAUUUAAAACAUACGGGGAUGCGCUAGGAAUAAGUCAUUGUUAGAUUUCUUAGUUUUGGAAGAUAUUAUUCUUUGUCCCAUUUUGUUGUUUGAGCUCGUAAUGAAAGUGUGACUCAUUUUCAACCACGGAAUUAGUGGACGAGUGUAAUUUAUGACGGCGCGAUUGUAAUAAUUUCAAAAAAUUGCUAUAAAUAAAAAUUCAUUCUUUUUUAACAUCAAAAAAGAAAGAAGCGGCUCCAAAAAAGAAAAGAAAAAGAGAAGCGGCUCAAAUACAAUGGGACGGAGAAAAUGUAAUUUUAAAAUAUUAUUGAACUUGUCUUUAUGUUUCAGGUUUUUCAUUAACUUUUUCAUACGUAUUUUUAUUCUUUUACAAAUUCAAUAUGAAUUCAACGGUCUCAUUUUUUAUUUUAGGAACAACUUUUUUAUAUUAUUUAUAUUAUUUGAC
rnacentral:lncRNA from 1 species